rnacentral:rRNA from 1 species
CCUACGGGAGGCAGCAGUAGGGAAUAUUGCUCAAUGGGGGAAACCCUGAAGCAGCAACGCCGCGUGGAGGAUGAAGGUUUUCGGAUUGUAAACUCCUUUUGUUAGAGAAGAUAAUGACGGUAUGUAACGAAUAAGCACCGGCUAACUCCGUGCCAGAAGCCGCGGUAAUACGGAGGGUGCAAGCGUUACUCGGAAUCACUGGGCGUAAAGAGCGCGUAGGCGGGAUAGCAAGUCAGAUGUGAAAUCCUAUGGCUUAACCAUAGAACUGCAUUUGAAACUGUUAUUCUAGAGUAUAGGAGAGGUAGGUGGAAUUCUUGGUGUAGGGGUAAAAUCCGUAGAGAUCAAGAGGAAUACUCAUUGCGAAGGCGACCUGCUAGAACGUAACUGACGCUGAUGCGCGAAAGCGUGGGUAGCAAACAGGAUUAGAUACCCCGGUAGUC